GCCAGUGUGGCUCAGUGGUUAAAGCGUCUGCCUGUGAACCAGGAGGUCAGGGUUCGAUUCCCGGUCAGGGCA
rnacentral:tRNA from 1 species